GACGAACGCUGGCGGCGUGCUUAACACAUGCAAGUCGAGCGGUAAGGCCCUUUCGGGGGUACACGAGCGGCGAACGGGUGAGUAACACGUGGGUGACCUGCCCUCAGCUCUGGGAUAAGCCUGGGAAACCGGGUCUAAUACUGGAUAUGACUCCAUGACGCAUGUUGUGGGGUGGAAAGCCUUGUGCGGCUGGGGAUGGGCCCGCGGCCUAUCAGCUUGUUGGUGGGGUGAUGGCCUACCAAGGCGACGACGGGUAGCCGGCCUGAGAGGGCGACCGGCCACACUGGGACUGAGACACGGCCCAGACUCCUACGGGAGGCAGCAGUGGGGAAUCUUGCGCAAUGGGCGAAAGCCUGACGCAGCGACGCCGCGUGAGGGAUGACGGCCU
rnacentral:rRNA from 1 species